GCGUGUAGCAAUACACGAGUGGCGCACGGGUGAGUAACGCGUGGAUAUCUGCCUUUUGGUUCGGAAUAACUCCGGGAAACUGGAGCUAAUACCGGAUGGUUCCUACGGGAUAAAGAUUUAUCGCCAAAAGAUGAGUCCGCGUACGAUUAGCUAGUUGGUGAGGUAAUGGCUCACCAAGGCGACGAUCGUUAGCUGGUCUGAGAGGACGAUCAGCCACACUGGGACUGAGACACGGCCCAGACUCCUACGGGAGGCAGCAGUGGGGAAUAUUGGACAAUGGGGGCAACCCUGAUCCAGCCAUGCCGCGUGAGUGAUGAAGGCCUUCGGGUUGUAAAGCUCUUUUGGCGGGGACGAUGAUGACGGUACCCGCAGAAUAAGCCCCGGCUAACUUCGUGCCAGCAGCCGCGGUAAGACGAAGGGGGCUAGCGUUGUUCGGAAUUACUGGGCGUAAAGCGAGUGUAGGUGGUUGUCAUAGUCAGGUGUGAAAGCCUUGAGCUCAACUCAAGAAAUGCACUUGAUACUGGGCGACUAGAGGACCGGAGAGGAUAGUGGAAUUCCCAGUGUAGUGGUGAAAUACGUAGAGAUUGGGAAGAACACCAGUGGCGAAGGCGGCUAUCUGGACGGUUUCUGACACUAAGACUCGAAAGCGU
rnacentral:rRNA from 1 species